rnacentral:tRNA from 1 species
GGGCCGAUGGUCCAGCUGGUUAAGACGCUGAUGAUUAAGCGGAACCUUGACGUGGCAGAAAUCGCAGGUUCAAAUCCUGCUCGGCCCA